rnacentral:tRNA from 1 species
GCAUCCAUGGCUGAACGGUCAAAGCACCCAACUCAUAAUUGGCGAAUACACAGGUUCAACUCCUGUUGGAUGCA